CGCCAAGGCAACAAGUUAAAUAAAUCAGGUGGGAGUCGACCCCCCCGGACCCCGCUAGGAUCUUUCCGUAGGUGAACCUGCGGAAGGAUCAUUACCGAGUGAGGGCCCUCUGGGUCCAACCUCCCACCCGUGUUUAUUUUACCUUGUUGCUUCGGCGGGCCCGCCUUAACUGGCCGCCGGGGGGCUCACGCCCCCGGGCCCGCGCCCGCCGAAGACACCCUCGAACUCUGUCUGAAGAUUGUAGUCUGAGUGAAAAUAUAAAUUAUUUAAAACUUUCAACAACGGAUCUCUUGGUUCCGGCAUCGAUGAAGAACGCAGCGAAAUGCGAUACGUAAUGUGAAUUGCAAAUUCAGUGAAUCAUCGAGUCUUUGAACGCACAUUGCGCCCCCUGGUAUUCCGGGGGGCAUGCCUGUCCGAGCGUCAUUGCUGCCCUCAAGCCCGGCUUGUGUGUUGGGCCCCGUCCUCCGAUCCCGGGGGACGGGCCCGAAAGGCAGCGGCGGCACCGCGUCCGGUCCUCGAGCGUAUGGGGCUUUGUCACCCGCUCUGUAGGCCCGGCCGGCGCUUGCCGAUCAACCCAAAUUUUUAUCCAGGUUGACCUCGGAUCACGUAGGGAUACCCGCUGAACUUAAGCAUAUCAAUAAAGCGAAGGAAAUUACCGAG
rnacentral:rRNA from 1 species